rnacentral:tRNA from 1 species
UGGGGUGUAGCUCAAUGGGAGAGCACUUGCCCAGAGGCUCUGGGUUCAAUCCCCAGCACCACAA